AACAUACCCUUUAAAGGAGUAUCCAACAAGGAAAAAUAGUUCUAUUAUCCAUUGCAUACUCUGAUGGAUUCUUAUUAAAUUAAAAUUCCGUGGUAAAGGGAUGAGCUUUGCGUGACAUUUAGCCAGCUGUGGGUAUAUGGCUCACCAAUAGCAAUAAUGUAAGGAGGUUUAUGGAGAGGAAGGCCCCCCUACAUUGGGACCUGAGACACGACCCAGACUCUUUCGUGAGGCAGCAAUGAGAGAAUAUUGGACAAUAGAUGGAAAUUUGAUCCAGCCAUUCCGCGUGCAGGAAGUCGGCCUUAUGGGUUGUAAACUGCUUUUUAUACGGGAGCAAUAAGGGUUACGAGUAAUCCGAUGAGAGUACUGUAAGAAUAAGGAUCGGCUAACUCCGUGCCAGCAGCCGCGGUAAUACGGAGGAUCCGAGCGUUAUCCGGAAUUAUUGGGUUUAAAGGGUGCGUAGGCGGCCAUUUAAGUCAGCGGUGAAAUUUUGCAGCUUAACUGUAACAGUGCCGUUGAUACUGUUUGGCUAGGAUUUGGUUGUAGUGUGCGGAAUGUGUGGUGUAGCGGUGAAAUGCUUAGAUAUCACACAGAACACCGAUUGCGAAGGCAGCACACUAAGUCAUUAUUGACGCUGAGGCACGAAAGUGUGGGGAUCAAACAGGAUUAGAUACCCUGGUAGUCCACACUGUAAACGAUGAUAAAUCGCUGUCGGCGAUACACAGUCGGGGCCAAGCGAAAGC
rnacentral:rRNA from 1 species